rnacentral:rRNA from 1 species
GACGAACGCUGGCGGCGUGCCUAAUACAUGCAAGUAGAACGCUGAAGAGAGGAGCUUGCUCUUCUUGGAUGAGUUGCGAACGGGUGAGUAACGCGUAGGUAACCUGCCUUGUAGCGGGGGAUAACUAUUGGAAACGAUAGCUAAUACCGCAUAACAAUGGAUGACACAUGUCAUUUAUUUGAAAGGGGCAAUUGCUCCACUACAAGAUGGACCUGCGUUGUAUUAGCUAGUAGGUGAGGUAAUGGCUCACCUAGGCGACGAUACAUAGCCGACCUGAGAGGGUGGUCGGCCACCCUGGGACUGAGACACGGCCCAGACUCCUACGGGAGGCAGCAGUAGGGAAUCUUCGGCAAUGGGGGCAACCCUGACCGAGCAACGCCGCGUGAGUGAAGAAGGUUUUCGGAUCGUAAAGCUCUGUUGUAAGUCAAGAACGGGUGUGAGAGUGGAAAGUUCACACUGUGACGGUAGCUUACCAGAAAGGGACGGCUAACUACGUG